rnacentral:rRNA from 1 species
UACGGAGGGUGCAAGCGUUAUCCGGAUUCACUGGGUUUAAAGGGCGCGUAGGCGGGCGAUUAAGUCAGGGGUGAAAUCCCACAGCUCAACUGUGGAACUGCCUUUGAUACUGAUUGUCUUAAGUCCGGGAGAGGUGAGUGGAACUGCGAGUGUAGAGGUGAAAUUCGUAGAUAUUCGCAAGAACACCAGUGGCGAAGGCGGCUCACUGGCCCGGAACUGACGCUGAGGCGCGAAAGCGUGGGGAGCAAACAGG